rnacentral:rRNA from 1 species
GGCCUUGGUAGCGCAGCUAACGCGUGAAGUUGACCGCCUGGGGAGUACGGUCGCAAGAUUAAAACUCAAAGGAAUUGACGGGGACCCGCACAAGCGGUGGAUGAUGUGGAUUAAUUCGAUGCAACGCGAAAAACCUUACCUACCCUUGACAUGUCUGGAAUGCCGAAGAGAUUUGGCAGUGCUCGCAAGAGAACCGGAACACAGGUGCUGCAUGGCUGUCGUCAGCUCGUGUCGUGAGAUGUUGGGUUAAGUCCCGCAACGAGCGCAACCCUUGUCAUUAGUUGCUACGAAAGGGCACUCUAAUGAGACUGCCGGUGACAAACCGGAGGAAGGUGGGGAUGACGUCAAGUCCUCAUGGCCCUUAUGGGUAGGGCUUCACACGUCAUACAAUGGUCGGGACAGAGGGUCGCCAACCCGCGAGGGGGAGCCAAUCCCAGAAACCCGAUCGUAGUCCGGAUCGCAGUCUGCAACUCGACUGCGUGAAGUCGGAAUCGCUAGUAAUCGCGGAUCAGCAUGUCGCGGUGAAUACGUUC